CCUACGGGCGGCAGCAGUGAGGAAUAUUGGUCAAUGGACGAGAGUCUGAACCAGCCAAGUAGCGUGAAGGAUGACUGCCCUAUGGGUUGUAAACUUCUUUUAUAUGGGAAUAAAACGUUCCACGUGUGGGAUUUUGUAUGUACCAUAUGAAUAAGGAUCGGCUAACUCCGUGCCAGCAGCCGCGGUAAUACGGAGGAUCCGAGCGUUAUCCGGAUUUAUUGGGUUUAAAGGGAGCGUAGGUGGAUUGGUAAGUCAGUUGUGAAAGUUUGCGGCUCAACCGUAAAAUUGCAGUUGAAACUGGCAGUCUUGAGUACAGUAGAGGUGGGCGGAAUUCGUGGUGUAGCGGUGAAAUGCUUAGAUAUCACGAAGAACUCCGAUUGCGAAGGCAGUUCACUGGACUGCAACUGACACUGAGGCUCGAAAGUGUGGGUAUCAAACAGGAUUAGAUACCCCUGUAGUC
rnacentral:rRNA from 1 species